AAAGAUCCAUGGAUAUUUACGCUUAUAUAUCCAUAGUUGUCAACCCUAUAUCCUCGUCCCAAUCGGCCAACAUCCCACCAGUGACAUUUGAAAAGAACUACUUUUUUAUUUCCCACAUACAACAAUUCAAAAAUAUCUUCCAACACUCCAUAGUACUCUUUAUCAGCAGAUGUUUCAUCUCCUUUUACAAGCACUCCACUAUUCUGACUUUUUCGCCCAAUUGCACGAUCUCUUGCAUGAAAUCUGAAUCUAUUGACAACGUAAGUUCCAUAUCUAUUGUUGGGUAUAAAAUAUCCCCCCAGCCGAAGUUCAUGUCAAGAGUGACCCUUCGAGAAU
rnacentral:lncRNA from 1 species